AACGUAGGAGGCGAGCGUUAUCCGGAUUUACUGGGUGUAAAGCGCGUGCAGGCGGUUCGGUAAGUUGGGUGUGAAAGCUCCUGGCUCAACUGGGAGAGGUCGCUCAAAACUGGCGAACUGGAGAGUGGUAGGGGAAGUGGAAUUCCCGGUGUAGUGGUGAAAUGCGUAGAUAUCGGGAGGAACACCAGUGGCGAAGGCGACUUCCUGGCCUGUUCUUGACGCUGAGGCGCGAAAGCUAGGGGAGCAAACGGGG
rnacentral:rRNA from 1 species